AUAAUGAAGCAUUUGAAUAUUUCAGUCGGGCUUCUGAGGCUGCAAAAACUUUAAAUAAUUUGCCCUUAGUGGAAGAAACAAAGACUUAUUAUGGCAUUGCAAAGGCUCAUAAACUGAUGGUGGCAUUUAACAGCCAGAUAGAAGCAGAAGAUCCCGUCAGCCUCCAGUACCUGCUGGCAUGGAAGGAGAACAGAAGUGACAUGUGCACUGACCCUCUUACAGUCGAACUUGAUAAAGAAACAAGUCCUUCAAAGCCUCUGUGAGCCUCUUCCAAAGAUACCAGUUCUAGAUCCUUUCUGAGGAUGCCUGCUUACUUACGGAGAAGCUGAUUAGCACAAUGACUACAGGAAGAGCCUUGAAGACUCAUGCAACAAAGUUGGAAUUUCGGUAGGAAUUUUGUCAUUUAAAUGGGAGCACAAUGUUGCAGUAUAAAUAUCUAAGAGCUCUAAGUUCUCUUACGACUGAAGCGUGGCUUCACUAUGUAUUACAUGUUCUUAUCAAAAAUAACUGGUGUCAUUGAAAUAAAUACAAAAGAAAAAGAGUAAUACAGAGUAGGAAGUUUGUACUUUGUGCCCUUAAUGCUUAUAGUCCUCUAAAGUGUCACUAUCCUCCUGUUAAGAUAUUAAACAUCCUCUGUGCCUACUGAAUAGGAAUCCAAGAUGCUUGAUACCUUGUAGGAUCAGGUUUUAAAUGUGUCUGGAGAGUUUUGUUUAAAUCCCAGAUUACUGUCCUUUUCAGAAAAAAUAAACCACAAGCUUGAUGCCUUAUUCUUAGGGCUAUCAGUGAUUUUAGCCCCUAUGCUUAAGAGGUGCAGUUCAAUAGAUCCAGCCUGGGUGGCACAAUAUGGUGCAAUUUGGAUCUACUCUAUGUAGUUUGGACCCAAAACACAACCAAGUUUGUUUAAAAUCUGGUUGAGCACACUCAUGAAACUGCUGACAGCCUGCACAAUCGAAGCGGUUGAAAUGCCAUUGACUGUCUCAAGUGCAACAUCAAUCUAUAGGCACAGCUGAAACAACUAUAUUUAACAAUGAAAGUACAUCUGGUAGAAUACCUAUAUGUCACAGUU